rnacentral:rRNA from 1 species
UCUACGGGUGGCAGCAGUGGGGAAUAUUGCACAAUGGGGGAAACCCUGAUGCAGCGACGCCGCGUGAGUGAAGAAGUAAUUCGUUAUGUAAAGCUCUAUCAGCAGGGAAGAAAAUGACGGUACCUGAGUAAGAAGCCCCGGCUAACUACGUGCCAGCAGCCGCGGUAAUACGUAGGGGGCAAGCGUUAUCCGGAUUUACUGGGUGUAAAGGGAGCGUAGACGGCAGUGCAAGUCUGGAGUGAAAGGCGGGGGCCCAACCCCGGAACUGCUCUGGAAACUGUGCGGCUAGAGUACUGGAGGGGCAGGCGGAAUUCCUAGUGUAGCGGUGAAAUGCGUAGAUAUUAGGAGGAACACCAGUGGCGAAGGCGGCCUGCUGGACAGUAACUGACGUUGAGGCUCGAAAGCGUGGGGAGCAAACAGGAUUAGAUACCCCGGUAGUC